rnacentral:tRNA from 1 species
AGUUGAAAAGCGAAGUUUGCACUUAGUUUCGACCUAAGCUCUGGUAGAUAACUACCUUCAACCG